rnacentral:rRNA from 1 species
GAUGAACGCUGGCGGCGUGCCUAAUACAUGCAAGUCGAGCGAACGGACGAGGAGCUUGCUUUUCUGAUGUUAGCGGCGGACGGGUGAGUAACACGUGGAUAACCUACCUAUAAGACUGGGAUAACUUCGGGAAACCGGAGCUAAUACCGGAUAAUAUUUUGAACCGCAUGGUUCAACAGUGAAAGACGGUCUUGCUGUCACUUAUAGAUGGAUCCGCGCUGCAUUAGCUAGUUGGUAAGGUAACGGCUUACCAAGGCAACGAUGCAUAGCCGACCUGAGAGGGUGAUCGGCCACACUGGAACUGAGACACGGUCCAGACUCCUACGGGAGGCAGCAGUAGGGAAUCUUCCGCAAUGGGCGAAAGCCUGACGGAGCAACGCCGCGUGAGUGAUGAAGGUCUUCGGAUCGUAAAACUCUGUUAUUAGGGAAGAACAUAUGUGUAAGUAACUGUGCACAUCUUGACGGUACCUAAUCAGAAAGCCACGGCUAACUACGUG